AUGAGUAUGCACAAUUCACUCAAUACUAGACAUCUCUGAAAUCCUCUAAUUCUCCUAUCACUGCAAUUGCUGAGUUAGGUAACUCUGCUGUAUGCCUUGUGUCUUCAUUCUCAAAAUGGAUUAUUGAUUCUGGUGCUACCGAUCAUAUGUGAGGAUCUUUCAAUGAAGCAGAUUAUUGGUAAAGGACGUGAGUUAGAGGGUCUUUAAGAAAAUUCCUAGAUCUCUUACAUGUUCCAUGAGUUUAACUCCUUUUGAUGUUCACUGUCGGUUGGGGCAUUAUUUUCUCUUUGUUUUAAAGAAGUUAUGUCCACAGUUUCAAUCUUUAUCUGUUUUAGAUUGUGAGUCGUGUUAAUUUGCCAAACAUUAUCGUUUACCUAUAGUGUCUCGAGUCAAUAAACGAGCUUCGUCCCUCUUUGAGUUAGUAUAUUCAGAUGUUUGGAGUUGUUGUCCUAUUGUGUUUAAAUCUAGAUUUAAGUACUUUGUUAUUUUUGUUGAUGAUUUCUCUUGGACUAUUUGGUUAUUUUUAAUGAAGUGUCAUUCAUAACUAUUCUCUAUUUUUUGUGCUUUCUAUGCUACAAUCUAAACUCAAUUCAAUAUUUCUAUUCGAAUAUUGCAAAGUGAUAAUGCUAAAAAAUAUUUUUAUGGGGAAUUUCAAUCUUAUUUGUCACAAAAAGGAUUCUUCAUGUUGACACUCCUUAAUAGAAUGGGGUUGCCGAAUGAAAAAAUCGACAUCUAUUUGGAGUAGCUAAAGCUCUCUUAUUCCAAAUGAAAGUCUCUAAAUGUUCUUGGGCUGACGUUGUGUCCAUUGCUUGAUUUUUUAUCAAUCGCAUGCCAUUCUCCAUUCUUCAUGGUGAUAUCUCUUGUAAUAUUUUAUUUCCCACUAAAUCUCUGUUUCCUAUGAAACCAAAUAUCUUUAGGCGUACUUAUUUUGUUCGUGAUAUUCGUCCACAGGUUACUAAAUUAGAUCCCAAAUCACUCAAAUGUGUCCUUUUUUACUACUCUCGGCUUUAAAAAGGGUAUUGUUAUUUUUCUCCUGAUCUUAGUCAGUAUUUUGUAUCUGCUGAUGUAAUAUUUUUUGAGUCCACCCCGUUCUUUCCACCAUAUCUGUUUAUGUGACAUAGGGGAAAGAAGAUGACCUCUUGGUAUACACUGUUCGUUCUUUGUCUGACCCUCAAAAUCUUCCUGCACCUUUCGCUCAUGUGCCAGAUCACCUUCCUAUUUUUCAUGUUUAUUCCAAAUGCCUAUAGGACUUUGACUAUGCUUCGCUGCCAGCUUCUUUGUCGAUGGACCCUGCUCCCACCGAUCCGUCACCAUUUGACUUGGAUCUGCCUUAUUGCGCUUCGCAAAGGUAGACAUACUUGCACUCAUCCUAUUUCGUCUUUUCUUUCUUAUGAUCAAUUAUCUUCUUCUUUUUGUUAUUUUGCCAUUACUGUAGAUUCUAUGUCAGUCCCCAAAUUGUUUGUGAGGCUUUAGUCCUUGUUGGCAUAUUGCGAUGGAAGAGGAAAUAAUGGCCCUAGACACUAAUGGUACUUGGGAGUUGGUGCCAUUGUCUCUAGGAAAGCGGGCUAUUGGGUGUAAGUGGGUGUUUGUAGUGAAAGUAAAUCCUGAUGGAUCUGUUGCUCGCUUCAAGGCUCGUUUAGUGGCCAAAGGUUAUGCUCAAGCUUAUGGAGUUGACUAUUAUGAUACUUCUCUCUCCAGUUGCCAAACUCACAUCUAUUCGAUUGUUCAUUUCCUUGGCAGCUACAUAUGGUUGGCCUUUGCGUCAAUUGAAUAUUAAAAAUAUUUUUCUUUAUGGUGACCUUCAGGAGGAAGUUUAUAUUGAGCAACCACCUGACUUUGUUGCUCAGGGGGAGUUAGGCAGGGUUUGUAGACUUCGAAAAUCUCUCUAUGGCUUGAAACAGAGUCCUCAAGCAUGAUUUGGCAGGUUUAAUGAGGUGGUCCAACAGUUUGGUAUGCAGAUGAGUAAGUGUGAUUACUCGAUGUUUUAUAGAAAUUCUGCUUGUAGUGUAUGUGGAUGAUAUUAUUAUCAUAGGAAGUGAUAUUGCUGGCAUUACAUCUCCAAAAGAAUUUCUAAAAGUACAGUUUUAUACAAAGGAUUUGGGCUCCUUGAAAUAUUUUUUGGGCAUUGAAGUUAUGCAGUGUAAGAAAGACAUUUUUUUAUUUCAAAGAAAAUAUGUUCUUGAUUUGUUAACGGAAACGGGAAAAUUGGGUGCUAAGUGUUGGAGAAGUGAGAAUCCCACAUUAGUAAAAGAAAGAAGAAAGGAAGAGUUAAUAAAGUAAAAUGAGCCAAAUCCAAAUUGCCUAAGGGCCUAAAGGCAUUUUGGAGAAACUACCACAUCAUGCUCAAUUAAGCCCUACUAUGGGGCCUAACACUCUCACCAUAUGCAGACUUGGACCGGACCCAUCAUUAAAUUCCAACAGUGGUAUCAGAGCUCAAAUGGCCUAACAGCCAACGAAGAUCCAAAGUCUAAGAAAUUUCCUAGUGAGUUGGGUUAGCAAUUACAUGCUAGACCCAUAAGUUAAAAAUAUUGAAGACAGCUUGUGGCCUUUGAGGUUCAAGAAGAGUACAAGCCAAGGCAAAAAUGAGAACCUGAGGCCUCUGAGACUAAGAAAAGAACACAAGCCCAGGAUGAUAAAAUGAAGCCAAGUGACAAAUGGGCUAGGCCAGUUGGACUUGAGGGGGAGUGUUGGAGAAGUGAGAAUCCCACAUCGCUAAAAGAAAGAAGAAAGGAAGAGUUAAUAAAGUAAAAUGAGCCAAAUCCAAAUUGCUUAAGGGUCUAAGGGCAUUUUGGAGAAGGCUACCACAUCAAGCUCAAUUAAACCCUAUUAUAGGGUCCAACACUUUUAUCACAUGCAGACUUGGAUCGGACCCAUCAUCAAAUUCCAACAGAAGUUUUGUAGUGCACCAAUGACUCCUAAUCUUUUAACUUACUAUAGAAGACAGUGAGUUAUUCGCAGACUAUGAAAUGUAUAGAAGAUUAAUUGGCAAGCUGAAUUAUUUGACGAUGACUCGUCCUAAUAUUGCAUAUUCAUUGAGUGUGGUGAGUCAAUUUAUGUCUUCUUCUACUGUUGCUCAAUGGAAUGCUUUGAGGCAGAUUCUUUGCCUACUUAAAAGGGGCUCCAGGAUGUAGCCUUUUCUAUGGUAACUAUGAGCACUCAGAUAUUGAAUGUUUUUCUGAUGCUGAUUGGGUAGGUUCAAAGGUUGAUAGGAGGUCAACACUGGAUAUUGUGUUUUUGUGAGAUGUAACCUAGUCUCAUAGAGAAAUAAGAAGCAAAAUGUGGUUUCUUGUUUCUCGUUCUAGUAUUGAAUCUGAAUAUCGAGCUAUGGUAUAAGCCAUAUGUAAAGUCUUGUGUAUGUGUCAACUGUUAGAAGAGGUUAAAUUCACAAAUUUGGUGCCUGUUAAGUUAUGGUGUGAUAAUUAAGCAGCAUUGCCUCUAAUUCAAUAUUUCAUUAGAGGACCAAACAUAUCGAGAUUAACUGUCAUUUUGUUUUAUUUCAAUAGGACAUAUCAGAACUGGAGAACAAUUACGGUAUAUAUUUACUAAAGCUCUAAAUGGAACUAGAGUUGACUAUAUAUGUAACAAGUUGGACAUGAUUAACAUCUAUGCUCCAACUUGAGGAGAGUGAUAUAGGAAGUAGGUAUGUUGAUACAGGAAGUAAAUAUGGAUAGAUUUGUUAGUUGCUUAAUCUUAAAAAUUGCAUAAAAGGAUUCCCUUUCCUUUUUAGAUAUGUUUUUUUUUAUGUAUAAAUAUAUUGUAAUAUCUAUUGUAAUAUACACAAGAAAUAUUACUUAUCUGCAGAGCUGAACUGCUAAGGUGUGUCUAGAGGUGCAACCUAAAAUAUUAUUAGGAACUUUUGAGGUUAGGAAAAGAUCCAAGGUGUUAAAUCUAGAAAUGUGAAAAAUACUUUAAGGGUUAUAAUGGAUCUAAGAAGCAGAAGGUGUACAUUUGAAUGGAAGAAUUGGGUGAUUGUGAUAAAGUUAAUCUUCAGUUAAUGCUCUUGAAGGUAUUCAAGAAGUUGAUACAAUAAAUGUUGUUGGGGUUCAUAAAAAACUGGCAAUUAGUCAUCUUAAUUGACAGUGGUAGUACCAAUCGUUCUUUUGGAAAGGGGAGUAAAACAGGAACUCAAAUUGCCAUUUAUUCAAAAUGCCCCACUGCAAUUACAGUCGCAGAUGGCAGGAAGAUUAGUAGCAGGCAUUUGUGCAAGAGUGAACAUGAAAAAUGUAAUUUCACCAGUUCGGUAUUGAUCUAAAGUUAUGGAGUCAGUAGUUUUGACAUCAUUCUAGGAGUAGAUUGGAUGAAAAGCUUCCAUUCCAUUCUUUUUUACUUCAAAGCUUCUAAGAUCAAUUCAAGGAGAGCAGGGACCAUAGCUACAUUGCAAGGAAAGUGGGAUUUUUUGGUGAUCACAAGAAUAAGGGUUUGUGAAGAUUACCAACACUUAAUUCAUAAGAAAGGAGUGGAUGCCAAUCUCCUCUCUUCUGUACUAAUGCCCUGCGGUCAGCCAGAUGUAAUGGACAGUAAUGUUGCUUAAUGAUGGCACAGCCAGUAGAAUCUUGUCCUGUUCUGCUAACAGGGAGGCAGUAAGCCAAUCAUGUGAUACUGAUUCCAGUAGUGAUUUACCAAAUAUGAAGGAAGAUGUUGUAGUAGUAGUAGCUCCUGAGGCAUUCCUGCAGACAGGAGUGGACACUAGAGGGACCCAACAAUCCUUACAAGGUCUCAUUAUUCAUAGGACCUUCCUGUUGAAGAUGCCUUCAUUGUAGCUCAAUUUCCAGACUCGCUCUGUCUUGGGGACUAGAAAGUGGUAUAGUUGAGUUAUUGUCAACUGAAGGUUAAAAGGAAGAUCAUUCCAGAAGAUUCAGCAGCAGUUAGCUGUUAAAUGGUAUGUUGGCUGAAGGAAGGCUAUUGCUAGUUAGCUGUUAAAUUGGUGUGUUGGCUGAUUGUAUGAGCUGGAAUUAGUUACACCAGCUGGAUAAAUAGCUGUAACUGCUAUACAAGUCCUUAUUCUAUCCAAUAGGAUUUCUGUAGCUGAUUGGUGAUUCCUGAAUUAGCAUUAUAACUGGAGAAGAUAUUAUUCCUGUAUUUCCGUUCCAUUAAUUUCCAGAAAAGAUCUUCUCUUUUCUCUUUAAUUUUCCUCUCAACUUUAUUCCUUUCCUCUCAAUUUCCCUUUCUUCUCAAUUGCUUUGUUAGAUUCCAUGACCCUAACAGGGUAUUAUGAGGCUAAUGGAAAAACUAUGCAACCAAACUAAGAAAUGUACUUUUUUUAGAUGUGACUUUUUGUUGCUGGCUUCGGCCCUUCAUUUUAAUCAGAUGUUGAAUUAGUCUUAAUUAGUCAUUAAGAUUUUAUGACUUAUGAUUAUUGCUCAUUGGUUCCUUACAAUGAUGAACUUUGACUCUGUAUUUUUUUCCCCUUCUUUAUUCAUCGUCUUGUUAUUGUUUUAUUUUUUCUUUUUGGAAGAUGAGCUGAUAUUAGGAGUUAUUUCCUUUUGAAAUUCUAAUGUGAUGGUUAGUAGGUAUUCUUUUCCUUCUUUUAGCAAGAACUCAAUUUUUUUUUGUUCUUGAUCCUCUAUGGGUAGUUUUGUAGCUAAAUCUUGUCCCCUCUUCUUAUAUUUUGGUUCAUUUUAUAGCUACAAUUUCUAAAUGCAUGGUAGUUUCUUAUUUGAGAGGAUAUGCUUUGCACCUGGUGGCGUUAUUUUUCACAACAGCAAUGUCGACUUUGUGGAUAGUUGUUUGUUUCUGGUUGAGCCCUAUUGGGACAAUUGGUAGAGGAUAUUAUUAUGAUAAGGAGAAUAAAAGUGAUAAAAAAUAAAUAGAAGGUAUUGAGGGUUGAAAUUGUAAUAAAUGGAUAGAGUAGAAGAUAGUAACUUAGCUAAGAAUUAGUUAGAGGGUGGAGUGCCGGAAACAGUUAUUUUAGAGAUCUAAAAGCUGUAUAAAUUACAACCGUUGUAACUGAAGGGGAACUAUUCCAAGAAUUAUCAAUACUAAUCGAUCUUUCUUCUUGUGUCCCUCUCUUUGUAAUUCUCUCUACUCUGCAUUUUUCCCCUUUCUUCUAUUUCUCUCCCUUUCCUCUCUUUCUGACUUAUUAGGGAUUCAAUUCUUAAUAAUUGGUAUCAGAGCCUAGGAUUCAAAGGCCCUAAAUUCUAGGUUUCAUCGGCCCUAAAUUCUAGGUUUCUUCUUCUUGAAAUCCAAAUUUCUUUUACUCUUCUACCUAUAAUUCUUCUUCUCUCUUUCUUGAAUAUCUUCCUUUCUUGAAUUUCUUGGAAAUCCAAGAAAUAUCAAGAUUCUAUUCAUUUUCCCCUUAAAUUCUGUUGUAUUUCUUAUAUUUCCUUUGUUUCUCUUUUAAUCUUCAAUCUUCUCUGAUUCUUUCUGUCAUUUAUGUUUCUCUUCUCAACUGCUCUUUCUCAUACAUCUAUCAAUAAUAGAUUUUCCCCUUUCUUUCUCUCUCCUUUCUUCUAUUUCUCUCCAUUCCCUCUCUUUCUAACUUGUUAGGGAUUCAAUCCUUAAUAAUUGGUAUCAGAACCUAAGAUUCAAAGGCCUUAAAUUUUAGGUUUCUUCUUCUUCUUCUUGUUGAAUCCAAAUUUCUUCUACUCUUCUACCUAUCAUUCUUUUUCUCUUUCUUGAAUUCUUCCUUUCUUGAGUUUCUUGAAAAUACAAGAAAUAUUAAGAUUCUAUUCAUUUUCUCCUUAAAUUCUGUCUAUUUCUCAUCUUUCCUCUGUUUCUCUCUUUAAUCUUCAAUCUUCUCUAAUUCUUUCAUUUCUGUGAUGCGGUGCAUUUAAGGAGAAUAAGAGCAGCUGCUUGUCACGUGCAUGAGAAACGCUAAACGCGUGUGAGAGGAUUGUAUCCUGAGAGAGUUAGUUACGGCUGUUACCGAUGAGUUGUAUUUAGCUCCCAUAGGACUAACAAUGUAAUCUGUUUUUUUAGCAAGUUUUGCCAAAUACUAGAGAAAGCUCUCUCUAUUGCCUCUCUAAACUCUAUCUUGAUUCUUUCUACUUCUCUCAAUCUGUCUCUUUCCUUCCUUCUUCUGUAAUUUGUCUUAGUUUAUCAAUUGGUAUCGGAGCAUUCGAUUCUUGGAAAUGGCUGAAGGUACAAGGUCACAUGAUCUCCGAAAGGAGCUGCCUAAUUUGGUUUUUGAAUCUGAACAAAGGCAGGAGGCGAGGUUGGAGUCUAGGCUCUAGGAUAUGGUUUCAGAACUUAAAUCCCUAAUUGCUCAACUCAGCAAACAACAAGCUGACUUAGUAAGCAGUCGUAACGAGGCCAACGCAUCCUCGAAUGUUGAAGGACUAUACAACAGUCCAUGGGGAAAUAAUGCAAAAUUGGAAUUUCCUAGUUUCAAUGGAGAAGUGGUGGAUGGAUGGUUGCUUAGAUGUGAGUAUUAUUUUGAGGUAGGAAGGGUGUCUGCUGAGAAUAGAGUGAAACUUGCAACUCUAUAUUUAGAAGGAAAAGCAAUCCAAUGGCACCAGGGCUAUGUUCAAGUGAAAGGGCGUGAAGCUUAUUUUAGUUGGGAGGAAUAUUUGAUGGCUUCGACAGCAAGGUUUGGAGCACAAGCCUAUGAUGCCCCCAUUGCAGAUUUGGGAAACCUGAGGCAAGUUGGGUCUCUCCAAGAAUAGCUGGAUGCAUUUGAUGAGCUGUAUCCUAAGGCAAGAAUUCCUGAAGGUAAUGCAUCGAGUUUUUUCCUUUCUGGGUUAAGUGAUGAAUUACAAAUAGCUAUUAGGAUGUUUAAACCAACCAUGUUAGCUGAGGCAUAUUCAUUAGCUAGGUUGCAGGAAUUACAUGUUGCAGCCAUUCGGCAGAAACCAAAAACACCAGUCAAAUUACCUACCACAAACGCUUACUAAACCCAAUUCCAACAGACCAAACUUACAAACAGUACCUCUCUUAAUAUCCAAAAUACCCAUAACAGAAAUAGUCCUACCACCAAAGACCAAAUAGGCCUUUUACCUACCCCAAACAUACCCAAAUCGACUACCAGCACUUCCAAAAUGCCUACUACCUUGACUAGCAAAGAAAUAGAUGAGAAGAGGGCUAAUAAUCUUUGCUAUUGGUGUGAUGAGAAAUAUUCAUCCACUCAUAAAUGUCAGAAAAAGAAAUUGUAUGUGUUGCAGAUCAAAGAAGUUAUUGAUGAGGAGGUAUUGGAAACCAUGGUUGAGGAGGAAGUGGACUGUAAGAUUCUUGUGAGGAAAUUGUCCAUGAAAUAUGAAUGCUAUGUGGGGUGAAGGUGAUGAUCAAGCCAUGUUGUUGGAAGGUAAUGUGGGGAAGCAAAGGAUGCACAUUUUGGUAGAUACAUGGAGCACUCAUAACUUCAUGAGCCAAAAACUGAUUGCCAAACUUAAACAGCCUGUUACUGAAAUAAAAGGAACUUGGGUGGAAAUUCCUAAUGGGCAGUAGAUAAAGUGUGAAUCUAUGUGCAAGUAAUUUAAAUGGACUAUGCAGGGACAUUCAUUCAUAGCAGAUGUGUAUGUGUUGCCAUUAGAGACUUAUGAUUUGAUAUUGUGCAUUAGGUGGUUGAAGAUGUUGGGAAAGAUACAGUGGGACUUUAAUGACAUGUCCAUGAGCUUUAUGUAAAAUGUUAAGGUGUUAUACUGAUAUUCUAUUUGAUUCUCUAUAUAAACUUACAAAAGAUGUAGCUUCAAUAUUCAAGUCUUAUACCCUUUAGAGGAGAGGACUGGAGAUAAAUUUUGUACUUGGUAAGCCACGUUUUUUUUUGGGAAUUUUGAGAACGCAAAAUAUUAAUAAUUUACAUUUUAAUAGGGUGUGAUACCAAUUAUUUGAUUAUUUAUGUACAAGUUAUAAAGAUGUACCUUCUAUAUUCAAAAUUGAUUUGAUUGAAUAAAUGUUGUUUUGAUAUGAGAAGUUCUAUUUUGAUAGCUUUUUGCCAUUAAUAUCCCAAUGUCUAAGGUACAGCUCACCCUUGGUUUUCUUUUUCAUGCCCUGUCUUGACCUAGUUUGAAUUGUAUUUUCAGGGAAAAUUGAUAUAUAAUAUAUAGGGUAAAAUACAAAAAAAUACAUUGUAGUUUUAUUAAUUUUUCACUUUAGGGUAUAUAAUUCAAUUUGUGUUAAAAUAGUAUUUAUGAUAUCACACCGAUAGAAAACAACGGUAAUUCCUAGACGUCGUUAGGAAUGUUAAUGUAGAAAUCAUAUUACGAGGUACUAAUUUGACACAAAUUGAACCAUAGAUCGUAAAGUGAAGAUGAGUGAAACCAAAUGAUACUUUUUUAUAUUUUUUUCUUUUAAUUAAUGAUUAUAUUUUGCUUGCUACUUAAGCAUUUCCUGACGACUUCUAGAAAUUGUCUAUGUUUGCUAACGAUACGAUAUCACGAGAUACGAUUUUGAUACAAAUUGAACCAUAGACCUUGAAGUGAAAAUAAAUAAAACAACAUAGUACUUUUUUGUACUUUUCUCUUAUAUAUAUGUGUGUGUCAGUACUAUUAUUUUUAAUAAAAUUAUAUUUUGCAUGAGUAAGUUGCAGUAAUAAACUAUUGCCAAAAAAAAAAAAAA